GCCGGGAUAGCUCAGGGGCAGAGCAAUCGUUUCAUAAGCGAUGGGUCGGAGGUCCAAAUCCUCCUCCCGGCA
rnacentral:tRNA from 1 species